AACAGCAAGCCUUGAAAACACACAUGCACCGGCACAUGGUCCCGGGUGCCGCUGGCAGCGUCUAACGCUGUCAAUGGUCGGAUCCAUGGGGUGCGUGGAGGCCUAAC
rnacentral:sRNA from 1 species